GGAUCCAGACUUUGAUUCUGGCUCAGGACGAACGCUGGCGGCGUGCUUAACACAUGCAAGUCGAACGAGAAUCUACUGAAAGAGUUUUCGGACAAUGGAUGUAGAGGAAAGUGGCGGACGGGUGAGUAACGCGUGAGGAACCUGCCUUGAAGAGGGGGACAACAGUUGGAAGCGACUGCUAAUACCGCAUGAUGCAUAAGGGUCGCAUGAUUCUUAUGCCAAAGAUUUAUCGCUUCAAGAUGGCCUCGCGUCUGAUUAGCUAGUUGGCGGGGUAACGGCCCACCAAGGCGACGAUCAGUAGCCGGACUGAGAGGUUGAACGGCCACAUUGGGACUGAGAUACGGCCCAGACUCCUACGGGAGGCAGCAGUGGGGAAUAUUGGGCAAUGGGCGCAAGCCUGACCCAGCAACGCCGCGUGAAGGAAGAAGGCUUUCGGGUUGUAAACUUCUUUUAAGAGGGAAGAGCAGAAGACGGUACCUCUAGAAUAAGCCACGGCUAACUACGUGCCAGCAGCCGCGGUAAUACGUAGGUGGCAAGCGUUGUCCGGAUUUACUGGGUGUAAAGGGCGUGCAGCCGGGUCUGCAAGUCAGAUGUGAAAUCCAUGGGCUCAACCCAUGAACUGCAUUUGAAACUGUAGAUCUUGAGUGUCGGAGGGGCAAUCGGAAUUCCUAGUGUAGCGGUGAAAUGCGUAGAUAUUAGGAGGAACACCAGUGGCGAAGGCGGAUUGCUGGACGAUAACUGACGGUGAGGCGCGAAAGUGUGGGGAGCAAACAGGAUUAGAUACCCUGGUAGUCCACACUGUAAACGAUGAAUACUAGGUGUGCGGGGACUGACCCCCUGCGUGCCGCAGUAAACACAAUAAGUAUUCCACCUGGGGAGUACGAUCGCAAGGUUGCAACUCAAAUGAAUUGACGG
rnacentral:rRNA from 2 species